CGAUGAAGGUCUUCGGAUUGUAAAGUUCUGUUGGUCAGGGACGAACAAGUACCGUUCGAACAGGGCGGUACCUUGACGGUACCUGACGAGAAAGCCACGGCUAACUACGUGCCAGCAGCCGCGGUAAUACGUAGGUGGCAAGCGUUGUCCGGAAUUAUUGGGCGUAAAGCGCGCGCAGGCGGCUAUGUAAGUCUGGUGUUAAAGCCCGGGGCUCAACCCCGGUUCGCAUCGGAAACUGCGUAGCUUGAGUGCAGAAGAGGAAAGCGGUAUUCCACGUGUAGCGGUGAAAUGCGUAGAGAUGUGGAGGAACACCAGUGGCGAAGGCGGCUUUCUGGUCUGUAACUGACGCUGAGGCGCGAAAGCGUGGGGAGCAAACAGGAUUAGAUACCCUGGUAGUCCACGCCGUAAACGAUGAGUGCUAGGUGUUGGGGGUUUCAAUACCCUCAGUGCCGCAGCUAACGCAAUAAGCACUCCGCCUGGGGAGUACGCUCGCAAGAGUG
rnacentral:rRNA from 1 species